rnacentral:rRNA from 1 species
GAUGAACGCUGGCGGCGUGCUUAACACAUGCAAGUCGAACGAAGCACUUUAUUUGAUUUCCUUCGGGACUGAUUAUUUUGUGACUGAGUGGCGGACGGGUGAGUAACGCGUGGGUAACCUGCCUUGUACAGGGGGAUAACAGUUGGAAACGGCUGCUAAUACCGCAUAAGCGCCCAGCAUCGCAUGAUGCAUUGUGAAAAACUCCGGUGGUAUAAGAUGGACCCGCGUUGGAUUAGCUAGUUGGUGAGGUAACGGCCCACCAAGGCGACGAUCCAUAGCCGACCUGAGAGGGUGACCGGCCACAUUGGGACUGAGACACGGCCCAAACUCCUACGGGAGGCAGCAGUGGGGAAUAUUGCACAAUGGGCGAAAGCCUGAUGCAGCGACGCCGCGUGAGCGAAGAAGUAUUUCGGUAUGUAAAGCUCUAUCAGCAGGGAAGAUAAUGACGGUACCUGACUAAGAAGCACCGGCUAAAUACGUG